AGCCUUCUGUAUUCGUGCUGUGAUUUCGUCGAACUUCAGACUAUAAGGCCUGACGAGACUCUCAAGAUAAGUGAAGCG
rnacentral:pre_miRNA from 1 species